UACGUAGGCAGCGAGCGUUGUUCGGAAUUACUGGGCGUAAAGAGCGUGUAGGCGGUUCUCUAAGUUCGGUGUGAAAUCUCCUGGCUCAACUGGGAGGGUGCGCCGGAAACUGGAGUGCUUGAGCGUGGGAGAGGAAAGCGGAAUUCCUGGUGUAGCGGUGAAAUGCGUAGAUAUCAGGAGGAACACCUGUGGUGUAGACGGCUUUCUGGACCAUAGCUGACGCUGAGACACGAAAGCGUGGGUAGCAAACAGG
rnacentral:rRNA from 1 species